rnacentral:rRNA from 1 species
UACUGGGCGUAAAGCGUGCGCAGGCGGUUUUGUAAGACAGUGGUGAAAUCCCCGGGCUCAACCUGGGAACUGCCAUUGUGACUGCAAGGCUAGAGUGCGGCAGAGGGGGGUGGAAUUCCGCGUGUAGCAGUGAAAUGCGUAGAUAUGCGGAGGAACACCGAUGGCGAAGGCAAUCCCCUGGGCCUGCACUGACGCUCAUGCACGAAAGCGUGGGGAGCAAACAGGAUUAGAUACCCUGGUAGUCAAGGGCG